rnacentral:rRNA from 1 species
UACAGAGGGUGGCAAGCGUUUGUUCGGAAUUAUUGGGCGUAAAGCGCGUGUAGGCGGCUUUGCAAGUCGGGUGUGAAAGCCCUCAGCUCAACUGAGGAAGUGCGCCCGAAACUGCAGAGCUUGAGUGCCGGAGAGGGUGGCGGAAUUCCCCCAAGUAGAGGUGAAAUUCGUAGAUAUGGGGGAGGAACACCGGUGGCGAAGGCGGCCACCUGGACGGGUAACUGCGCUGGAGACGCGAAAGCGUGGGGAGCAAACAGG